rnacentral:rRNA from 1 species
CCUANGGGAGGCAGCAGUGGGGAAUAUUGCACAAUGGAGGAAACUCUGAUGCAGCAACGCCGCGUGAAGGAUGAAGGUUUUCGGAUUGUAAACUUCUUUGAUUGGGGAAGAAUAAUCCCGACGUGUCGGGAGACGACGGUACCCCGGGAAUAAGGAUCGGCUAACUCCGUGCCAGCAGCCGCGGUAAUACGGAGGAUCCGAGCGUUAUCCGGAUUUACUGGGUUUAAAGGGUGCGUAGGCGGGCGCUUAAGUCAGCGGUGAAAUACGGGGGCUCAACCUUCGAACGGCCGUUGAUACUGGGCGCCUUGGAUUCGGUCGAGGCGGGCGGAAUGCGACAUGUAGCGGUGAAAUGCUUAGAUAUGUCGCAGAACGCCGAUUGCGAAGGCAGCUCGCCAGGCCGACAUUGACGCUGAGGCACGAAAGCGUGGGGAUCAAACAGGAUUAGAUACCCUANUANUC